rnacentral:rRNA from 1 species
UGGGGAAUAUUGGACAAUGGGGGGAACCCUGAUCCAGCCAUGCCGCGUGUGUGAAGAAGGCCUUAUGGUUGUAAAGCACUUUAAGCGAGGAGGAGGGUACUGGUAUUAAUACUACCAGGUACUGGACGUUACUCGCAGAAUAAGCACCGGCUAACUCUGUGCCAGCAGCCGCGGUAAUACAGAGGGUGCGAGCGUUAAUCGGAUUUACUGGGCGUAAAGCGUGCGUAGGCGGCUUUUUAAGUCGGAUGUGAAAUCCCCGAGCUUAACUUGGGAAUUGCAUUCGAUACUGGGAAGCUAGAGUAUGGGAGAGGAUGGUAGAAUUCCAGGUGUAGCGGUGAAAUGCGUAGAGAUCUGGAGGAAUACCGAUGGCGAAGGCGACCACCUGGGCUCAUACUGACACUGAGGUGCGAAAGCGUGGGGAGCAAACAGG